UCCGUAGGUGAACCUGCGGAAGGAUCAUUACCGAGUUGAUUCGGGCUCCGGCCCGAUCCUCCCACCCUUUGUGUACCUACCUCUGUUGCUUUGGCGGGCCGCGGUCCUCCGCGGCCGGCCCCCCUCCCCGGGGGGUGGCCAGCGCCCGCCAGAGGACCAUCAAACUCCAGUCAGUAAACGAUGCAGUCUGAAAAACAUUUAAUAAACUAAAACUUUCAACAACGGAUCUCUUGGUUCUGGCAUCGAUGAAGAACGCAGCGAAAUGCGAUAAGUAAUGUGAAUUGCAGAAUUCAGUGAAUCAUCGAAUCUUUGAACGCACAUUGCGCCCUUUGGUAUUCCGAAGGGCAUGCCUGUUCGAGCGUCAUUACAACCCUCAAGCUCUGCUUGGUAUUGGGCACCGUCCUUUGCGGGCGCGCCUCAAAGACCUCGGCGGUGGCGUCUUGCCUCAAGCGUAGUAGAACAUACAUCUCGCUUCGGAGCGCAGGGCGUCGCCCGCCGGACGAACCUUCUGAACUUUUCUCAAGGUUGACCUCGGAUCAGGUAGGGAUACCCGCUGAACUUAAGCAUAUCAAUAAGCGGAGGA
rnacentral:rRNA from 1 species